rnacentral:rRNA from 1 species
AGUGAACGCUGGCGGUAGGCCUAACACUUGCAAGUCGAACGGCAGCACAGGAGAGCUUGCUCUCUGGGUGGCGAGUGGCGGACGGGUGAGGAAUACAUCGGAAUCUACUCUGUCGUGGGGGAUAACGUAGGGAAACUUACGCUAAUACCGCAUACGACCUACGGGUGAAAGCAGGGGACCUUCGGGCCUUGCGCGAUUGAAUGAGCCGAUGUCGGAUUAGCUAGUUGGCGGGGUAAAGGCCCACCAAGGCGACGAUCCGUAGCUGGUCUGAGAGGAUGAGCAGCCACACUGGAACUGAGACACGGUCCAGACUCCUACGGGAGGCAGCAGUGGGGAAUAUUGGACAAUGGGCGCAAGCCUGAUCCAGCCAUACCGCGUGGGUGAAGAAGGCCUUCGGGUUGUAAAGCCCUUUUGUUGGGAAAGAAAUCCAGCUGGCUAAUACCCGGUUGGGAUGACGGUACCCAAAGAAUAAGCACCGGCUAAUUUCGUGCCAGCAGCCGCAGUAA